GGAGGCUAUUCUUUCUUUUGCGUCUGCGGCGCUACCGGUGUAUGUGUCUUUUGCGACCGUGCUUAGUGCGAUGUCGUCCAGUCCGAGGAGCCCAGCUUUGUGUGUGGUUAGAGGGCGAUCAGAGUGUACAGAAUGUGUGUUGGAGCAGGGGUGACCACUGGGCCUCCGAGGGAGCCACGUGCAGACAUGUGCAGCCUUCGAUCUCACGACCUCUAGGCUUGCUUUUGGCACAAGCUAGACUUUGAAUGGACCAGGAAGAAUCUGGAUGUGGGAAAGGAUUGGUCAGAAGCCCUGUGUGGCAUUGGGUGUUGAUGUCAGCCUGAUCUCUUGGCUUGUUCAGCGUGUCCUGUAACAGAAAGUUUCUUUAAUUGGAGUUGGAACACAAGAUGAGGCCUCUUGAAAGAAAGACUGACCCUGUUCUCCUGAAAGUGAAGCAGUUACCCAAGGUUAUUGUGUAUGCAGCCGGAGUUCAAAGGCUCUGCCUAUUAUUUGAAAAAUCAAUUAUUGUUAGACCUUGGUAAAAUCUCUAACUUUGUAACCUUCCUACCUGGAGAAAGAAAAUAAAAUCUUUAAAGUCAAAA